AGGAGCAUGUGAGCUGUCUGACAGGUUUGGCUGGUCUGUUGCUCCCUUCCAUUCUGUCUCUGCAGUAGAAUUCUGCAGUUUGUAUCCUCUGUGGCGUGCUGAGCUGUGGAGAGGCCUAGAGUUCUGUUGGGGACCUGUAAGAUUUUACUUCCAUUCUAAAGGACUUUAGGGCACCAGGGUUCAAGUGACAUCCUUAUGGGAACUGGAAGAAGACGGAACCAUAUCAGCCACAAACAAAAUCCUGUCAGCUUUUGGGGACAGUAUGAUCCUGGAGUGAAGACAUCUGAAUAAUUUUGACUUUGGGUGGCCAAAAAAAGCAGGAUAAAGACAGGAGUCAAGGACAAACAAUCUCACCUGUGCUCCCUCCCAACCCCACCUCCAGCAUGCCUGUGGAGACACUACAGCCUGGCCUGAGACAGCCGGUGGCAGUGAGGGCUGCUGCUGCUGGAAUGCCCAACCGCCUUCUCAUGCCCAACCGCCGCCUCCCCCAGCCAAGAACAUUGGAAGCAGCUGAGCCCAAGCAGAGUGCAGUGGAGAGACUGGCAGUAGACAAGGCUAAAUAUGUCAAGAACCAGGUGGCCCUCUUUAAGCAACAGCCAAUCAAAGUGCCUCUACCUAUCAUGCGCAAGCCUCUGAUGUCCCCUGCCCCCACCCUGCGGCCCACCCGUAAGGCCCAACUGCCUCGCCCUGACUACACCCAGCAAAGGAGUUCCCCACUGGACCUGGAGCACCUGAGUAACCUGAUCAACGGGGUGGGUGAGGCUGAAACUCCCCCUACCUCCCCAACCAUGGACCCAGUGGAGAGUAGUCAGGCCCCUGACUGCCCCACUACCAACUCUCCCUGUCCCUCUCCAAUCUCUGCUGGAGCUGGGUCAGGGGCUGCUGAGAGUAUCCAGACCCUCUGUCCUGAGUGGUCCACUCCAGUCAAAGUUAGGGUAAAUGCCUCUGGCCCACUAAGUCCUACAGGGUCUCCUACUGCUGUGACCAUACGUAGAGUGGACAUCAUACCCCACCACACCACACCAGUGAGGAUACCCCUUAGAGCACAGCAGCAGAUGCGCGUCCCAUUGCAGCCCAUGGCUCUGCAUCCACACACCCAGAUCCACAACACUAUGUCACCUCUGCGUCUCUUCCACCCCCGAACUACCUAUGCACCAGGCCCUGCGUCUCCUAAACCUGUCCCAGCCCCUCCACCACAAAAUCACACCCCAACCCCCACCUCCCCGUCUAGCCCCGUCCAGCUCCCAGCCAACCCCCCCGUACUCCCGCCCUCCCCGUCGGUCACCUGCCUAUCGUCCGGCAGCUCCAGAAAACGUCCCUCUCUGAACCGCUCCAAAUCCGACAUGAGUGACCGUUACUCCCGGGCCAGUACUGAGCUGGAGCGCUUCUUCAACCUGUGUGGUUUGGACACUUCGGAGAUGCAGGUGCUGAAGGGGCCAGGCUCAGACAUCGCCUCCCUUGCACAGUUCCGCAGUGCCAGCGCUCCUGGGUCAGAGUGUGCAGGCCAGGAGGGUGAAGAGGAAGGUGGGGCUGCAGAGCCGGCACCCUAUGGCGUCUCAGUAAUUGAGAGGAACGCCAGAGUUAUCAAGUGGCUUUAUGGUAUCCGCACAUCCAAGGAUAGUGCCAGGAGCACCAACAUGUAGGGCCAUGAGAGACUGAUGUAAAUAGAGGCAGGGGAGAAAAACAUGGAGGUGCACUUUAAACACAAUUCCUGUACAGAGAAAAAAGCAGGAGAAGUGUGACUGCCGGUAUAAACCAACUAAUGAAAAUGAAAGGAAGGGACUGAUCUGGACUAAUAGUGAAGGACACUGUCUGUCAAUGCAGUUUGAUAGUGUUGGACAUAAUUUUGUGCAAAUUAUUUAUUGCAUGGUACUUGGUACCAACACCCGUUUCAUCCAGGGCAAAGCAGCAGUGUUUGGUGAAUGACGCUUCUAUUGAUGAUGUGGAUCCUCUGUACCUCAUCUCCCAUCGGUCAUCAAGGAGGCUCAGAAAAGGCCUGACGUCCAAGGCUACUCACCUUCCUCCAGCCAUUAUCAUUGGUAGUUCCAUGGUGAAGCACAUCUUAGUUGCUGGAGCUAAAACCCUGUGCUACCUGGGGGCUACGGUGAAGGAUAUCACAGGAUUUAUUUUGUCUAUCCUACAUCAGCAGCCAAGAGCUGCUGCUGUUGUAGUGCAUGUGGGAUCAAAUUAUAUCAAAAUGGUAAAUCAGAGAUAAUGAAACAGGAUUUUAUUGAGCUGAUCAACACCCUAAAAGGCUCUGAAAGGCAGCCGAUUAUAUCUGGCUCCGUGCCAUCGCUGAGUCGCGACUGCGAAAGGUUCAGCAGGCUUUUAGCACUUCAUAUCUGGCUUAAAGUCUACUGCCAUUCUGUUGGCAUAACUUUUAUUGACAAUUUUUUACACUUUUUGGAAACAAAAGAUGCUAUACAGGGAUGAUGGACUCCACCAAAACCAUCUACGGUAGGAGCCCGGACUCUCUCGUCACAUUUUAAAGCUGCGUUAAGAUAUUGACUCAGAGACAGACCAAGCCCCACUCAGGCGACAGCAGGUUCGAUUGUGGGUGAAGAUUUCAUCAUAGUAAGUUUGUAUGAAGGUUUGGUUAUUAAAGGGUAAAUAGUUCAAUAGUAAUAUGCUCUAAAACUCUCUGGUGACAAACAAACUUUGCUUCCCUGUUUCCAAUUGUCCACAUGGCUGGGAGAACCUAUUCAAGAAAGAAAGAAAUUUAAAAAAUGUUUUAAAAAAACCUGAUGCAUUAUUAGCUAACUAUAAUAGCUACAGUGCAUGCUAACUCAAAUUAGUUGCUAAAUGAGCUAGCUAGUUGAUUCACUAGCUAUCUAGCCAUCGUCACAUACUGUAUAGAUUGCUGGCGAAGUUAAUUAAAUACCAGCUACCUAACUUCAAAUUAGCUAGCUAUCUUGAUGUAAUUAUCACUGUGAAAAACAAACUCCAAAUGCAUUUGUAUGUAGCUAGAUAACAGCCAUGGAGGGGGUGAAAGGAUAGCAGCCACAACUGUCAACGUGAGAGAGUAGGCUAUUCUGGAUAGGGCAGGUACUUUUGUGUAGUUCCUGUCCCUAGAAGUGAGGAAGGAGAUAAUGGUAACAUAAUAUUCAGUUCGGUGCAAUUUGACUAUAAUGAAGUCUGUCCUCAGAUAAAGAGAGCUAUGAAAGCCUGUCUGCAUAUGAAAAGGUCCCAAUGAAGAGCAGUGGUUUUCGGUCCUGGUCCUGGGGACUCAAAGAGGUGCACAUUUUAGUUUUUGCCUCAGCACUGCACUGCUGAUUUCAAAUGAUCAACUCAUCAGCAACUUCAAGUGGUAUGUAUGUAUUCAAUUGUGAUGCUGUCCUUGAGAUGAUCCUGUUUUUGUCACAUGCUACACAUGCCUAUAUGUGUGCCCUUGCAUCUAUCAACCCAAUGUUAUCAUGAUUUGUUACCUGGGGCGGAAGGUAGCCUAAUGGUUAGAGCAUUGAACUAGUAACCGAAAGGUUGCAAGAUCAAAUCACCGAGCUGACAAGGUUCAAAUCUGUCGUUCUGCCCCUGAACAAGGCAGUUUUAAAUUAACCCACUGUUCCUAGGCCUUCAUUGAAAAUAAGAAUUUGUUCAUAACUGACUUGCCUAGUUAUUUUUAAAAUCAGUGAUAUUAUACUUUUGUAAUCCACAAUGACCUGGUGAUGUAAAAGUCUAAUAAUUACAUUGUAUUCCAUAUUCCUACAGAUACCUUGUAACUGGAGAUGCCUUCAAAACGAUUGCCUACAGUUAACGUGUAGGGCACUGCAAGGUUUGGUGGUCAGGGCCAUCUGGGAAUGCCUCCUCAAAUCAAAUCAAAUCAAAUCAAAGUUUAUUUGUCACGUGCGGCGAAUACAACAGGUGUAAACCUUACAGUAAAAUGCUUACUUACAGGCUCUAACCAAUGGUGCCAAAAAAAAUGUGUGUGUGUGUGUAGGUAAGUAAAGAAAUAAAACAACAGUAGAAAGACAUUUGAAAAAAAGAGUAGCAAGGCUAUAUACAGACACCUAUUAGUCAGGCUUAUUGAGGUAGUAUGUACAUGCAGGUAUCGUUAAAGCUCUCAACCUGCUCCACUACAAACCCGUCGAUGAGAAUGGGGACGUGCUCAGUGCUCAUUUUCCUGUAGUCCACAAUCAUCUCCUGGAGGAAUUCAGGGUGUGAAGGCUACAUAACUUCAUGAGGAUGGACAUGAGGACCAGGAGUGGAUCUGCAGCUUGUGCAGCAAGAGAGGCAAUCCGUGUGCGGGAGAUCUUCACCUCCCACUUCUUCGAAGAGGGUGCUGUUCCCUGACAAUACCGUAGACUACACUAUGCACAAUCAAAGGCUCUUUUAAGAGCCAUUCGCAUUGCAAUAAGAGUAUUCUUCCAUUUACUUAACUAUGUUAACUGCAGUUAUUCAAUUUCCAGUUUCUCUCCCUUUGAUUUUUACUUCUCAGGUGAGGGUGCUGUUUAGGUAAGGGUGCGAUGUUUGUACAAAAACAGGCUAUUUUAAAUGACCCAUAUUGAAAAAAUGUAGAACAAUUAGACGCCCUUUAACCCACACCUACACACUCAUGUAUCAAUCUGAUUGAUGGAUUGUUGUGCAGUAAGCAGGUUCAGGUGUAGAACUGUGGCUCCUUUCCCCUUCAAAGAAUAGGCAAGAUGGCCAACCAUGGAGAAUAGUAAGACACUUCAUUAUUUCUAUAACUACGCAAUAUUGUAUGUGCCUGUGUGUCCGUUCAUGUUUUUCAGCAUAAAGUAAUCUGCAGCCACUUAGUGUCAAUAACAGUAACUCUCCUCUUCUUCCUAAAUCUUCUAGGUUAUAUCAGCUGUGUCGGUGAACCCCUCCCGCAUCUGAACUGGCUACAUAGAGGGCACAGCAUGAUCAGAGAUAUGUUUUGAUGUGAGAGAGAAUGCCAACCCCCAGUCCCAUCAUCGCCACCUCACCCGCUUUUAAGAUAACCUUCAGGUCGACGAGAGACACUAUGUAAUUGUGAUGAACUGAGAGAAUAUUUGGGUAGCACUGUGAUUCAUUAAUCAUUUUCUGCCUUCCCUGCUCCUAAGUUCUUACCUCUUUCCCUGUAUUUUACACCUCUCUCGCCACCUCUUUCUUCCUGUUUUUAUAAUGCACAACAAAUGUGCAUUGAAGUACAGAUUGAACUUGUAUUUAUAAUAUUACAAUUUUAAUAUUUAUAAUGCAUGUACUUAUAACACUUGGAUAAUGAACUUCUUUCAAUAAAGCGUUUCACAU